AAAAAAAUUAAUUAUUAGGAUGCUAGUAACCGGAUAUAUGGUGGAGCGAACGUUCAAAUGUUGAACGUUCGCUCCACCUUAAGAAGGCGUUCGGCAGCGCGAUGGGAGCGCCGCCCUGUAGCAAGGAAUAAUGGGAUGGCUCUUCUCUGAUUGGCCAACUAUUUUCACUCCAAGCAGGAUGUUUGUAGCUUGAAGCCAAAUAUUGCAGUGCUUCAAAGGCAAGAAUUGACUCCUUUCUCGCAGAGAAAUUCCGCAGCGGGAUAAGUACCGCUAUUUGUAGCAUGGAAGAAAGCAAAACACAGACUACCACAGCAGCAAGAAGUUGUCACGGCAUUGUUGGACAACUUGCAAGAAACUGGCAGAGCUGGUCCAAGGAUCGUGUGGCUUAUCAGCAACGAAACCCAUUUAGCAAUGGCAACCAAGUAACCCAACGCACUGAGAAAGAGGAUCCCACUUAUGGGAGACCACCUGAAGGCUCCAAAACUGAGCAGAGAGGAAAAGAUGCACACGCACAUAUAGGCAAAGAAGUGGAAGAACUAUGCUUAAUUAUACUCAACACUGGAAAGAGGGAACAGGAUGGACAAGUGAGAAUAACAUUUAAACAGCUCUUUGAUAGGUAUGUGACUAUAUCCAAUAAACUAGUAGGUGUCCUCUUAAGAGCAAGGAAGCAUGGCCUGGUUGACUUUGAAGGUGAAAUGCUUUGGCAAGGAAAAGAUGAUAGUGUAGUUAUUACUUUGUUUGAACAAGAUAAAGAUUAUCCAGCUACUUCAUGAUUAAUUCAGAAAUCUGUUAAAGCUCUUGAAACAUCAAAAUGACUGCCUGGCUUAGAACAUAGGGAAGCAAUUGUCAUAAAAUGAAACUUAUGUUUUAAAAUACUUGGUCAUUAUGCAGUAAGAAAUAUGUACUUAUUAAAGGAAUUUAGUCAACAUA